rnacentral:piRNA from 1 species
UGCAUUACAGAGAAGCAAGUCUGUAGGUAGC